UUCACAUAUCCUUCGAUUUUCAUUCUUAAAUAUAUUAAACCUGGUUGAUUUAAUGUAUUUUGACUUAUUUUUGCAAAGGUUAUAAUUUGAAUAAUAUAAAACUACACGGUUCGGAUUUAAUGUAAAAUACGAAUCUACAAUACGAAUCUUUGUAUUUUAGUUGCUUGAUCGUAUAAUUAGUAAUUAUAGAUGUUUCAAACUUCCAAUAUAUCAAAACCUGUAUUGAUUACUCUUGAUCAGGACUUUAGUUGACUUUAACUUUUACAGUGUUUUCUUCUUGGACUUUGUUGUAUGAUACUGAUGUAAGACAAAACAGUAUGAACAUAUGCACUGUGUCUUGAAUGUUUUUGGAAUUCUUUUAACAAAUUAUGUGUUUUUAAACCUUAUUGCACAAACAGGACCAAAAAUAUAUAUGUUUAAAAAAUGUUGUCUCCAUGCUGGUCAAGUCCGGAAUGUGUUUUCCUCAAUACGAAUUGUAGGUGUGUCGGUGGGAUGUAGGUGAACACUACCAAAAUGUAAUGACCUUAACCUUAUUACGAAUCGUUGCUGAGCUUUGUUUCAGAUAAUUCGCACAGCAACCAGCGGAGGCAUGGCUUAAGGUUUAUGUGCCAAACUUGGCUGUAACAAUGCGCGCCUCACAUAUGGUCUCAUACCUGUUGGGUACCAGGUUACUCAAUACCCAUCAGGUGUUGGCUAUUGUUGAUGAAAAGAGGUGGAAAGGUUACUUACACUGGACCUCUAGGAUACCAUUCUCACCUACUACUAGACUAUUUUGAAUUCACUUCUCAGUCCAUUCAAGGGGUUAACAAAAUAAAAGAUGGUCAAAAUCCGGCCACAUGGAUGCUCGAUGUUACUUCUUCAACAGUCGAAGCUCAACUUGGUGUUGAUUUUGCAGAGAUCUAUGCCAACUCAGAUCUGUAUAAGAGGAACCAACAGCUAAUUACCGAGCUAAGUAAACCAUCACUAAGCUCCCAGGAUCUUUACUUCCCAACCAAGUAUGUGUGAUCCUUUUGGACACAAUGCUUAGCUUGCUUAUGGAAACAACACUGUUCUUACUGGAGGCACCCACAGUAUAAUGUUGUAAGGUUAUUCAAAUUGUUUUCUAUGAUGUGGGAUUUAAGUUUCAUCAUGAACAACAUUUAUGCACACCACCUGUUUGAUGAAAUGCCUGACUGAAAUUGAAAAUUUGUAUUUUUUAUUUUUUGUGUGUGAAACUUUUGAAUUUUAUCAAUGGGGUAAAAGUUUUGAAUCAAAGUUAUAUAAUACAAUUAGUAUUGGUGUAAUUAUACUGAUGAAUAUUCUGAUGGUCUGGUCUUUUGCAAUUAUCGCAUUGUACAGCCAUAAACUUAUUUUUUGGUUUAAGAUUUCAGCAGUUUUGGAAUCCUCCUCUCAUAUUUGCUCUUCCUUUCUCAUGUUGUGUUUUACACAAAAUUGAAGUUCUAGGGUUCGAAUUUGCAUACGACUUUACAAUUUUGCCAUUUGCAGAUCUACUCGCUGAAUCUAAAAUCACAGUAAUUGGUUUUGCUUCCCUCUUCUCACCGUUGUCGCAAAAAUGUAAUAUAAGAUCUUUUCAAUGGCAGCCAUAUGUAUUCCGUGUUGUUCUGGUGUUCUCCCUGAACUUUCUAUUACGUGCAGUAGUUAAUUCUGAGCACGUGGUCAUAUUUGGUACAUGGGUUAAAAUUUGAUUAUGGGUCAACUAAAGCCUCAACUAUAAUGAAGUUUGUUUUGCAUACAACCUGUUGAUUAUUGAAGACUUGAAGGGUUAAAUUGGCAUUGUGCUAAUUAAAAUAUGUGAUGGACAUGAAGGAAAAUUUGGGUUCAUUUCUUUGGGUGAUGAAUGUUGUCCCUGAAGAUGGAUCUAACACAUUGAAGCUUAUUUAUGAUAGAGGCUUAAUCGCCUCAAAUCAUGUCGCGGGGAUCGAGAAGGCGAUGGGUGAUGUUGUGAGCGGUGGAAGUGGUGAGGAAAAAAGGGCAAAAUUCUACAGGUUUCUGCGACAAAAAAGAAUAGUCCGAUUAAGGAGUUGAUUGAUAGAAAAAGUUCAGCGAAAGGAUUGAAUACUGAUGAACUAGAAGCAAGGUUCUUUCCUUACCAUAAGUUACUCAGAGACCGAUCAACACUAAAAGCACCUGCCGGGACCCACGAAGCUAUCAAAACCAAGGUUGGUUUAGCUGUUACUGAAACAAAACCGGAGGGUAAAUUGUCAAGUACGGUUGAUGAGAGAUGUAUAGCACCUUUGAUAUCAGACUCAUUGAGUAAAGGGGAGUCGAAAGUUAUAGUCAGGGGUGGUUCGGAGAUAUGUGAAGUUCAAGAAACGGAUGAAAAUGUAAAUUCAAGAUGACUUGAUUCUUCAAGCACUUACAUCGGCAAAUGUAACGUUGAGACAAUGCUCACUGCUAAUGAAACACUUGAAUAUUGCGAUGAAGAGGAAAACAAGGCAGUUAUGAUCUAUGUAGAGGAGAUAGACGAUAGUUUUAAUAACCAGUUGAACGUGAUCGGGCACAAGGCUUCUACUGGUGGAUGGUUUGUAUCAGAAGGAUAGUCGGUUUUGCUUGCUUAUGAUGAUGGUUCAUGCAUGUUCUAUGAUGUUGCCAACUCUGAGGAAGUGGGAAAAUCCAUACAUUGCAGGAAGUAGUUAAUUACUUGCUGGUCAAUAACAACGAUUGGGCUACUUUGCCUUUUUGUGGCAUCGAGUGAUGGUUGAGUUCUACUCCAACUUGGGACUUCGCUAGCAAUGAUCCUCAUCAUACAAGUGGAGGGUAUGAGCCACCAAACAAUCUGGUCAUAUAGUUUUGGAGGAUGAUGAACCUAAAUAAUGGAUGGUGCAGGUCGAACCCGGGGUUCAAAUCACUUUUGUUUCUUUACCUAAUGGCGGAAAUGAUCUUAAACGCAUUUGUUUCAACCGAGAAAUGUUCAACAAAUGGCAAGCUCAGAGGUGAUGGGGCGAAAAUUACGGACUACUCUCUGUUAAAUCCGUAAGCGUCUCUUCGGUGUUUCAGCUCAGCCUAAUGGGUUCAUUAAGGGCUGGAACUCUUGGGUCCCCUCCAUAGUAAACCAAUUUGGUUGGCGGUCUGAAAUGGAAAUAGUUCCCACGCUACUGGCACUCUUGAGAAGAUAUAUAAUUGUGCCCUCCACGGAUUGUUAGUUUUGUGGUGAGGAUGCAAAAUCUAUAGAGCACCUGCUGACCUCGUGUUAUGUGGCAACAAGGGUAUGGAAAUGGGUGUCUGUGUGGUGCAAUAUCCGUAGCAUCAUUUGCUUCUCGGUCCGAGACUAACUAGAGCUACACAAGCAUGCAAGGAUGGGGAAAGAUAAGGCAAAAGCAGUGCAACUAUUCAUUCUAACGGCGUGUUGGGUUUCCAAGAAACAACUUGGUCCAUUCGGUAAAACCUGUGGCGAUGGAUACGCUCAUUGAUGAAAUCCAAAGUAUGUCAUUUUUUGGAUAAAAAUAGGGCUAAACUGCUAUUGUUAGAUUAGGAAAAUUGGUUCAAGUUCAAAGUGUUUGUGUUGGUGUCACCUAUGUCUGUAGGGGGGGGGGUAAAGUCAGAAAGUCCGGUGGCCUGUACUGUAUUUUCAGCCUACGCAUCUUGCUGGGCUGUUGCUUUUGAAUCUGUAAGUUGAUUUUGCUGUUAAAAAAGAACCACUCUCAUCUAUAUACUCUCAAAAGUGAUUUCCAUAUAUGGGCUCUUAAAAGUCUUUUGGUUA